AGGUUACUUGUAUGCUGAGACUCUCUUUGCCAGUUGUGGGCAGUGUUUGGUCCCUGGCCUGAAUGUGAUGGCGUUGCUUAGCUCACUGCGGUGGAUCUUUUGUGGUGUAUGCUCUUGGGCCGGAGAAGUGAAAUGGCGUCACCAACUACUUCCUCCCUGGUAUCAGAACUCUGUGCUCUUGAAGACCGGCAAUCAAGCACCCCUCCUUUGUCUCCAACUUCCGUCCAUUUCCUGCUACCAAACUGUCUCUGACCAAGCUAUCAGCCUGCCAGGUGGCACCUUCUUCCCGAGUUUUAUCUCACAUGAGAUUGUGUUUCCAAACCCCUCUCUUCUGAGGGCUCUGCAGCUUUGACCCACUCAGACCCUCCUGGGGGAGGGUCUCGCUGAGCAGUGGCUGGGUGCUUGUCUGCCCCCAGGAAUGUUCCUGUGACUCUGCUGCUGUGGAUGCCCGGAGACUGCAGGUCGGGUGCCAACCCACCCCUAAAAAGUUGUGUGAUCGUGUAGCAGCAUUGUUUCAGAGAUUAUGGUAAAUCACGACACACAUCUGGCACGAGGCUUCACCCUUAAUGUCCUUGUUUCAACACCAGUGAAAGUGGCUCUUCUCCGGGGGUCUGCUGGGACCUUUGCCUGUGGAGAAGGGUAACUGCCACUCCCCAUGUGGCCUGGGGACACUUCGGACCUUUCUGUCUGCUCCUAGAGAUUCGCCCUUCCCAGCAGAGCACCACCAGG